ensembl:lincRNA
AUGUUCUGGAGAUUCUCCCUUACCUGCCCUGCCUCACAGCAAGUGACCAGGACCGCCUGCGGGCCUCCUACACGAGCCAGGGGAACCGCGACACGCUCUUCAUCCUGUUCAACUACCUGCAGCGGCGCCCAGGCUGGGUGGACGCGCUGGUCAGGGCCCUGCGCCACUGCGAGCUGUACGGCCUGGCCGACGAGGUGGCCUGCGUCUACCAGAGCAACUUGCCCCAGCUCAGGACAGGCGGUGCGGGCACGCAGCCCUGGGGCUGCCCUGCCCUCUCGCCACACUCCCCCCUCUGACGUGGCGGCCCUCAGCCCUGUGACCUCCAGCGGCCAUCAGGAGCGGCACGCAGACCCGGGCAGCGCCCCCGCAGCAGGUACGCUGGAGCCGGGCUGGCCUCCCCGGUGGGCUUGACCACGGGAAUCCCCUCUCUGGCUUCCCUGAACAGGACACAGAAGUGGGAAUCAAGAGGAUUCGCCCCAGGGACCACCCAGUUCCUUCGAGAGUGUAUCGGGUAGCGUUUGCUGCAUAACAACAGUCCCAAACUUCAGUAGCUUCAAGUACAGCCAUUUCCUUAGCUCAUGUUUUGCGGGUCAGCAGUGUGGGCUGGCUCAGCCGGGCAGUGCCUCUGCUCUCAGCUCGGCCCCCCUCUCUCCGUGGUCAGCUGGGUGGCUGUGCUUCUGGUCGGCUCUCUUCCGUGGAGCCUCGUCCUUCGCAGGCAAGCCAACCGCCUGGCAGCCGGGCAGGGAGCUCCGAGGGGCUGGGGGCCUCCUGAGGCUCGAGCUGGCGCAGUCACCCCUGCCUCCUGAGGGACGAAGCAAGGGACAGGCCAGCCCAGGUUCAGGGAGCGGGGAGGUGGGCUCGGGCCCCAGAUUGGGAGGAUGACGGCCGCGGGCCGAGGACACAGGCCAGCGAUGGACUCUCCUAAGGAGACUCUGCAGGGACGGCCAGUUCCUGGGGCCCUGGGCAGGACAGGGCCGGGCCGGCUAUGGGCAGCGGAGCCCUUUGGACACUGCCUCCCCCCGGGGGGUGUCCAGCGGGUCCCUAAAGUUGCUCAGCCCCUGGAGGAAGCCUGGACCCCUUCAGGAAGGCAGAGCUGUCCCUCCUGAGCCCCGCGCUGGCGUCUGCCCUGCUCCCCGCGCUUCCCCCGUGGAAGGGCCUGUGACAGGCACAAGGCUCACAGGCAGGCAGAAGCUCAGAGCAGCCGCCUUGCGCCCCAAGACCCACUUGCUCUCCACAAAGCCGCUGGCCGUGGGGCCCUUCCAGGAAGAGCUGUGGGGACCAGGGGGGCGGAGGGCGGGUUUCUGGACACGGUCCCCAGGAGACUGGGAGAUUCGGGGGCACGUCGGAAUCGCCCCACCCCCUCCCGCCUUUGCCAUCCAGAGGGUCCCGGGGCGGCCUUUGGGGUGGUCUAGCACCUGCUUCCCCCAGAGGCGGUUCCGUCCCGCUGUGCUCGCCUCCAUCCCCGUCCCCGCGUCCCCUGGGAGAUGUGACGGCGCAGGGCCCCACGGCCGGUGUGCGCUGCUCUGCUCGCGCCCCCUGCCCCAGUCCAGGUCGCGCUGCCUGCUGUGGGUGGGGACAGGGUGGCGGUGGGAGAAGCUUCCGGAGCCCCACCAGGCUGGGAGGGCCCAGGAGGCACAGCAGGUGCGGGAGCGCAGGCGGGGCUUCAUUGGCUCCCGGUUUCGCGGCUAGAGAGGCCCACACGAGGCGUCGAGGCCAUGCGCUCCCCAAAGACUGGCGUUCCAGGCCGCUGCCGCCUUCCCGUCCCGUGGCAGUGCACGUGGCGGAUCAUGUUAGGGUUCUCUAGGGAAACAGAAUCAACAGGAGAUACCGUCGCUAGUAAGAGAUUUAUCAGAGUCGCUCACGCAGCCGUGCAGUGCACAAGUCCAGGUUCCGCAGUCAGGGGCUCCGGUGAAAGUCCAGUGAAGGUCCUUGAUGAGUUCUGGGAGAUGCUGGCUGUCCAAAGAGGAGCUGGGGAAUUCUAACUUAAUGCUGGAAUCACUUCCCCUUUUAAGGCUUUCAACUGAUUGGAUUAAGUGUCACUCUUGAUGAUGGCAAUCUCCCUGGUUGAUGUAAUUGUAACCAGCUAUCUAGGAUUUACCACUGCAGUAAAGUCAAUGGUAACUAAAGUCCAUAAAUGCCCUUGUAUUACAGUUGGCCCAGUGCUUUCUUGACCAAAAAACUGGGCACAGUUACCUGGCUGAGAUGACAGGGUAGCCUGACCGUCACACGGCCUCUCCUUUGUCUUCCGGGUUCCAGUGACUCCAGCUUCUGCUCUUCUGCCUGGCUUUGCGUAAACCUGCCAGCGACAGGGCUGGGGCCCAGCGGCUUGGCUCUGUCACCCCUUAACUAGAGUCACGGCUCUGGAAGGGGCGGUGGGGCGGGCUUGCUCCCGCAGGGUGGAGAGGACUUCCUGGGUCUGUGGUCCAGCCUCCCCAGGGGGUGCUCCAGGCAGGAGGAGAAGAGGCAGAGGAUGAGGGAGCNNNNNNNNNNNNNNNNNNNNNNNNNNNNNNNNNNNNNNNNNNNNNNNNNNAGAG